rnacentral:rRNA from 1 species
AUUGAACGCUGGCGGCAGGCCUAACACAUGCAAGUCGAACGAGUGGCGGACGGGUGAGUAAUGUCUGGGAAUCUAGCUUAUGGAGGGGGAUAACUACUGGAAACGGUAGCUAAUACCGCGUACCAUCGGAUGAGCCCAGAUGGGAUUAGGUAGUGGGUGGGGUAAAGGCUCACCAAGCCGACGAUCCCUAGCUGGUCUGAGAGGAUGACCAGCCACAUGGGAACUGAGACACGGCCCAGACUCCUACGGGAGGCAGCAGUGGGGAAGAUUGCGAAAUGGGCGCAACCCUGACGCAGCCAUGCCGCGUGUAUGAAGAAGGCCUUCGGGUUGUAAAGUUCUUUCGGUGGCGAGGCGUUAACUGCAGAAGAAGCACCGGCUAACUCCGUGCCAGCCGCCGCGGUAAUUC